GAUGAACGCUGGCGGCGUGCCUAAUACAUGCAAGUAGAACGCUGAAGGAGGAGCUUGCUCUUCUGGAAGAGUUGCGAACGGGUGAGUAACGCGUAGGUAACCUGCCUCUUAGCGGGGGAUAACUAUUGGAAACGAUAGCUAAUACCGCAUAAAUGUCGACAUUGCAUGAUGUUGACUUGAAAGGUGCAAUUGCAUCACUAAGAGAUGGACCUGCGUUGUAUUAGCUAGUUGGUGAGGUAACGGCUCACCAAGGCGACGAUACAUAGCCGACCUGAGAGGGUGAUCGGCCACACUGGGACUGAGACACGGCCCAGACUCCUACGGGAGGCAGCAGUAGGGAAUCUUCGGCAAUGGGGGCAACCCUGACCGAGCAACGCCGCGUGAGUGAAGAAGGUUUUCGGAUCGUAAAGCUCUGUUGUAAGAGAAGAACGAGUGUGAGAGUGGAAAGUUCACGCUGUGACGGUAUCUUACCAGA
rnacentral:rRNA from 1 species